rfam:Folsomia candida strain VT population Fcan01_Sc023, whole genome shotgun sequence.
AAAAAGGCCCUGUUAAGGGCCACCACAUUUUCGUGAGAGCAUGUUAU